GUCGAACGAGCUUCCGUUGAAUGACGUGCUUGCACUGAUUUCAACAAUGAAGCGAGUGGCGAACUGGUGAGUAACACGUGGGGAAUCUGCCCAGAAGCAGGGGAUAACACUUGGAAACAGGUGCUAAUACCGUAUAACAACAAAAUCCGCAUGGAUUUUGUUUGAAAGGUGGCUUCGGCUAUCACUUCUGGAUGAUCCCGCGGCGUAUUAGUUAGUUGGUGAGGUAAAGGCCCACCAAGACGAUGAUACGUAGCCGACCUGAGAGGGUAAUCGGCCACAUUGGGACUGAGACACGGCCCAAACUCCUACGGGAGGCAGCAGUAGGGAAUCUUCCACAAUGGACGAAAGUCUGAUGGAGCAAUGCCGCGUGAGUGAAGAAGGGUUUCGGCUCGUAAAACUCUGUUGUUAAAGAAGAACACCUUUGAGAGUAACUGUUCAAGGGUUGACGGUAUUUAACCAGAAAGCCACGGCUAACUACGUGCCAGCAGCCGCGGUAAUACGUAGGUGGCAAGCGUUGUCCGGAUUUAUUGGGCGUAAAGCGAGCGCAGGCGGUUUUUUAAGUCUGAUGUGAAAGCCUUCGGCUUAACCGGAGAAGUGCAUCGGACACUGAGAGACUUGAGUGCAGAAGAGGACAGUGGAACUCCAUGUGUAGCGGUGGAAUGCGUAGAUAUAUGGA
rnacentral:rRNA from 2 species